rnacentral:lncRNA from 1 species
UCUUCCUCCCUCCCUCCACACUCCUCAACCAUGCAUGUUAAAUACUUAAUAGUGCGUACUUACUGCAGGAUUAUGAUGCGACCUGCUUGAUUAAAAAGUGCAAUGGAGUUUCAACUCCUAUCCUGAUUGACCAGGUAUGAUGCAAGCAGCCUGCCAUGAAAUGGAUAGUAUCUAGUUCCUGCUUCCAUGUUGCUUUUAUCCUAUCGUUAGAACUAUUAGUUGUUUGAGAUGGCAUGUCACUUUUCUAGUGCGGUGACGUAGGUCUAUAGGAGCCCACUGAAUGCAAGUGUUUUUAGGGGCAACCACGCAAAAUAGUUGGAAAGGUCCCUGAAAGCACCAUUGAUCAUGAUACAAGGACCUUAAAUCGGGCAUUGUGACAACAUGGUAGUCUUCCUCCUGGUUAAUAGGCAACUGAUCGGCUAAUUAUUAAAGAGGGGCCUUAAUAGUCUUCCUCCUGGUUAAUAGGCAACUGAUCGGGUAAUUAUUAAAGAGGGCCCUUAAACAAUUUCAAAUAAGGUGGUAUCUGUAAGUGGCACCACAUUUUUGUUAUGUCUAGUGCAUGACGGGAUUAGCCAUUUAGGUAGUCUUCCUAACUCUGGAUGUGAUACCUAUUGUUAAGUGAGUCUCUACUUCCGAACUUGGUUUGCGUAGGUGGGAGUCUAUUACAUGUUCAGUAAGCAGAGUCUAUCAGGCCAUGUCAUUCUAUCACUUAUCUGAAAUACACAAGCGGACCCACCAGUGCAUCAUCCUUUUUUGUCAAGUUGUCAAAAUAUUAGACCAUGCAUUGUGAGAUGUUGCAAAUUAUUAUAUCAAGCUCAACUUCCUGGCCAUUGAAAUAUUCAACUCUGACUGACUGAAGGGAUCGAUGAUUGUACAUAGAUGUUAGAUUUUGACCGAACAAGGUAGACAGUACAUGGCCCUAGAGUAGGCGUUGGCACGGACAGUUCUCGAUGGGUUUCUUCACAACUUGCCACUAUCAUUCAUGAUCUCAUGGGGUGCUGCUAUUUUUUCCAAUCUGUCUAAACUCCCUAGGGCUGUCACAUCUUCCUUUUUUAAUAUAUUUUCUCCGAAAAGUAUUGGUAAAAGGAAAGAAAAUGAAAUAAUUUCUGUGAAAACAACUUAUCCGUAUUUUUGUAUGUGGAUUUGAAUAGGGAGAUGAUGACAAGUUCCUGGCCGAGCAGCUGCUACCUGGCAACUUCGAGGAGGCGUGCAAGGCUGCCGGGGUUCCCCUGACCCUCCGCAUGCAACCUGGAUAUGACCAUUCCUUCUUUUUCAUCGCGACAUUCAUUGAUGAUCAUAUCGCCCACCAUGCUCAGUUUCUCAAGAGCGCCUGACUGGCAAGUCACCUGUAGUGAUGCAGUCAGUAGAAAGGCGUCUGAGCCAGCCGCGUUGCUUCGAUGAGUGUAAGCCUACCAUCUCUGUUAUCUUCUGUCUGUAAUGGACAUGCUGUUUGUUGGUGAGGUGAACACCUAACGGUUUACCCAGCUGGUAAUAAUUCGGACUGCUGUUAUCGCGUCUCAAGCGUGCCACAGCUGUCAUUUGCUUUGUGUAAUCGUUGGCCCGGGCGCGAGCUAUUUUCUGGAGGAAAGAAGUGAUUGUAUGUGCCACCGUCUGACUCUUGUAUGCUUUUACAGGGGAGCAAAUCGUCUGAUCCCUGUUUAUCAGCUAAAAGUUGGCUCGUAGCACGCCAAUGUCAGUGUCACGCCUCCUCCAGCUACAAAGUCAGCGAUUCAGUACGCAUCAACCGAGCAUGGUUUUCCCCACGAAGACGCCGAGCUUUUCUCCGUGCAAUUGCCCGUCUCGUGAACCCCGAAUCAAUCACUGUCCGUCCACAUCUCAUCUGACUGGGUACCUCGCUGUCGAUCUUAGCACAGUAGAGGAGAUGCGAAUGCGAUCGAUCCAUUCCAAGCGCGUCAAAUGCGUGUGGGGACAGUAGUUCCACGGGCGCCGGGCGAGAGUGAGCUAUAGCUGCUGCAAGCCUGCAAUAGUGUUCCUGUCCUACUUAACAAUUUCAAUACGGUGAAUUUCACUUGUUUACCGUUACAGACUCUCGACGUUACUGUUUUCCUUUUGCCGCUGCUUACUCGCCGUUAAAAAAAUAAUCUUAAAACUUAUCCCAUUCCGAUGCGCAUUGCCGGCCUGAAAAGCUCCCACUCAGCCGCCCACACAACCAUUCUUUACAAACGAUUCCAGCUCCUCUUUUCUUUCUUUCUUUUGGCUACGUGUGCCUCCCCAGCCCAGCCGUUGGAGUGAGUCCAAAGCGAUGGACGCAGCCGCCCAAGUAAACUAUGCUAGCAGCGCCGUUCCGGAGGCCGGCCAACGCAUCGGCGGCAAUUGCCCGGCACUUUCGCACGCGCCAGUCGAUGCCGGGGCAGGUGGCCGACCGUCUGUCCCGACCCCGUAACCCACGCGGCAUCUGAUGGAGGCCCAUGCUGGAGUAAAGUAUCCUUUAUUACACUACGCUGCCCAAGAUCGGAUCUGAAGCUUGACAAGCCAACACGGAUGACGUCUACUCUGACCGGCUGACACACGGGCCCGGUUACGGCACUGGCCCGCGCGCCAGCCAGGAGGCCAGUGCGGGUUCCGGGGCCGGUGGUGUACCAGCUUGGAGAAACCCCUCUGCUCCCGGCGCUUAUUUCUACCGCUGCUAGCCGCGUGUGGAGGGGGCAAAAGCGACUGAGAAAGAGGCCGUCGAGCCUUGGAGCUCCUGGCCAGGGGCUCCGGCUACCGGCCGGCCCCCUCCUCCUAAAGCUCGCCUUUCCGGCGAGCAUGUAUCAACUGAAGAAGAGAGCCUGAGGGACAAGGAUAUGAACUGAGGAACAGGAGGUUUGCUGCUCUCUUCUUUUCGUUAUACUAGAUCGUCGAAUUUAAUUGAUUUCGUCAGUAACAGUGAGACGUGCAUGCCGAUACUUUUUGUUUUGUGUUGGCAUAGGAGUAUUAGAAUAGAGCGUGUGUCAUCCAGUAUAGAUCUACAGCGUUGGUAUAUGGCAGUAGGAGUAUUUGUAGGAGGGUUGCUCUAUUUUUAUUUAUUUUUGCCUUAGCUAGAUGCAUGAUAUCGUCAGUUAAUAUUGUUCAAGAACCAAUAGAUGCUGCAUCUUGAUUGGGUUUUUUAUUACUGACCGUGUCAAAAAUUCAUGUAGGUGUACUAUCAGUACGGAAUCUAAAGAGUGUGACCACGCAUGAGUUCUUUCUCUGAGAGGCUAGUCUUUUUGGCUAGCAAACAGCACAUAAAAACAGAGCAACAGCUGUAUGGUCUGCUCACAGCUGCUUGUUGAAUGAUAGUUGGAAGAGAUGAAGGUGCGGUAUUAUUAUUUAGCUAUUACCAUACACCUUACUUACGGAGAUCCGACAACGAGCACAUGAGAUCAAGUAUCAUAUCAUGUACGCGGCACACCUUGGCCAUGUCCUUGUCGUCGAUGUCUACUGGUUGGAUCAUGCUUCUAUUUAUAAGCUCAUUGAAGUAACUCUCUCCGAGCUCAAAUAGGCCAAUUUUUUGUUUGUGUGAUACACAAAACCUUCAGCUACCCACUUCCAUAUCAAAUCAUCUCUCUUGGUUUUCUUGUCUUUUGGAAAUAUACUUUGAUAUGAUAAAAGAUGAGAAGGUAGAUCCUAGCUAGAACAACAUCAUAUUAAGUCUUUAGUCUCAAGUAAGUCCGGGUAGGCUAGAGAUGAAAUCCAAUAGGAGCUUAACGUUGUUUCAGGUAGUGUACAACUUGUUAGUAAAAGAUGCUUACUUGUAGAUUAUGCCAAACCAUGAUCUAUAAGUCAAGUCUCUUUUACUAAUAGUUUUGAUCCACCUUCUCAUCUUUAGUGUUAGUUAUCAUAUUUAACUAUGUAUUCAGAAGAUUAGAAGAUUAUGAGAGAUAACUUGAUAUGUAAGUGGGUAGUUGAAUGUUUUGUUUAUCAUGAAAACAAGAAAUUAGCCUACGUGAGCCCGGAGAGAGUAACUCAAUGAGCACAUAAAUAGAAGCAUGAUUCAACCAAUAGACACCGAUGACGACUGUGAAGGCAAGGAAAUGUAUUAUUGUAUACGUGUGUGUGCAUGAUAUUAUGGUUGAUCCCAUAUGUUCCUUGCCAACCGAAGACAAACUUGUGACAAGAUUGCAUGGUUUGAGCAAACAUCAUCAUCAAGCAAGAUCCAAGAUUAUUCAUCUGAAAAGAGUACGGCGGAUAUGGCCACCAUCAGGAUUCCAGAAGCGGGGUAUCUGGGACCUAUUGUUGACCAAGUAUACAGCUUGGUUCAUGCAAGCUUUCAGGUUCUAUGUGGAAUGGAUUUUAUUGGUCUCACUUCCAUUUAUCCCAACCAAGAUGGUCAAGACUGAUCAAGAUUCAAGAGCACUGUAUUUGCCUUUUCGCCGUUGGAUGACAUGAAGCUCUCUGUCUGAUUCUGUUCUCCAAUGUUUGAAUUCUCUUAUUGCUUCUGUCAAAUGAAGAACCAUGUAAUUUCUAGAGUGGCUCCUGCAUUCUGCUUCUUUUAAAAGCAGUAUAAUUGUAACCCUGAUGUACUGCUGGCUGGUUCAUUUGCCUGCUUCAGAUACUUAAUUAAUUGCACUGCUUCCUAGCAGAUUUCAGACACGUUUUAUUCCAGACUUGUGAAUGAAGUGCCGUAUUCAGAUUCAGUCC